GACGAACGCUGGCGGCGUGCUUAACACAUGCAAGUCGAACGGAAAGGCCUGCUUUCCCUUGUGGAUUGCGGGUACUCGAGUGGCGAACGGGUGAGUAACACGUGAGUGAUCUGCCCCCAACUUGGGUAUAAGCCUGGGAAACUGGGUCUAAUUCCCGAUAGGACUGUAGGGUGGUGCCUGUGGUGGAAAACGAUUUUCUAGUGGUUGGGGAUGAGCUCGCGGCCUAUCAGCUUGUUGGUGGGGUAAUGGCCUACCAAGGCGGCGACGGGUAGCCGGCCUGGGAGGGUGGACGGCCACAUUGGGACUGGGAUACGGCCCAGACUCCUACGGGAGGCAGCAGUGGGGAAUAUUGCACAAUGGGCGGAAGCCUGAUGCAGCGACGCCGCGUGGGGGAUGACGGCCUUCGGGUUGUAAACUCCUUUCGACCGCGAGGAAGCCACCUGGUUGGAAGGGUGGUGACGGUAGUGGUAGAAGAAGCACCGGCUAACUACGUG
rnacentral:rRNA from 1 species